UACAGAGGUCUCAAGCGUUGUUCGGAUUCAUUGGGCGUAAAGGGUGCGUAGGCGGCGCGGUAAGUCGGGUGUGAAAUCUCGGAGCUUAACUCCGAAACUGCAUUCGAUACUGCCGUGACUCGAGUCCGGUAGGGGAGUGUGGAAUUCCCGGUGUAGCGGUGAAAUGCGCAGAUAUCGGGAGGAACACCAGUAGCGAAGGCGGCACUCUGGGCCGGUACUGACGCUGAGGAGCGAAAAGCGUGGGGAGCGAACAGG
rnacentral:rRNA from 1 species